AUUAAAAUUGUGUUUUCAUAGGUCUGGAAGCAUUAUUGUAAAGUUUCAGCUCGUUUUUAAAGAGUCCCCACAAGAUCCACUUCUUCCACUUAAGGACAAUAUCAGGGAUGGUACUUUGGGGAAUUUCAAAGUAGAUGCAAACUCCUUAAAAAUGAUCAACGAGAAGUCGGAGACCACCAAAGACAACAAACUNAUUAUNAUUCUUGUCCCGGUUGCCAUCGCUGUCGUCCUCAUCGUNACAGCCAUCGCUGUAUUGAUCUGCAGAAGUAAAGAGUANCAAANCUACCGCUUGAGAAAGCGCUCAUCUGUUUGCNCUCCAAGCUUUUGUGAUGGUCACGAACAAAAGGAGAAAAUUGAAAUGCAAGGAUGGACUGGGGACCAAACGAAUAAUAUGGAAAGGAAUUUAGUCAACAAUUAUGUGGCGUCAGAAUCGCAUGUCAACCCUANCUUUCAGAACUAAGAGCCGAAAGCACAGCGUCAGUGAUUGCACUAAUAUAUUAGNAGUGUUUGAUUUUUAGGAGAUGUUUUCCAUGUCUUUUUUUGUAUUGAUCUUAUUACGAGUUAUCAGCUCAGUUUCACUGAGGAAAUGAGUAUUCAUGCUAAUCAGUUUUUAAGAGUGAUCAUUUUUUUAUUGUAGUCAAACAGUUGAAUUAUAUAGAAGCUAUAGGACAAACACGUAGAUGUCAUUUUCGUGAUCUCUAGAUUUUCAAGAGUCAUUUCGCAAUAGAUCUUUUCAACUAAGAUGAUUAUUUGUAUGUGUUUUAGUACUGCAUANUGAAUAUAUAUACGAUGGGUCAAUAAAUAACGCGUGAACUGAUUAUCUUCA
rnacentral:lncRNA from 1 species